GGUCUUUUAGCUCAGUUGGUUAGAGCGUGGUGCUAAUAUGAAUUAUGCACGCCAAGGUCACAGGUUCGACCCCUGUAAGGACCA